rnacentral:rRNA from 1 species
UACGUAGGUGGCAAGCGUUGUCCGGAUUUACUGGGCGUAAAGAGCGCGCAGGCGGUCGUUCAAGUCGCGUGUGAAAGCCCCCGGCUCAACUGGGGAGGGUCACGCGAUACUGAUCGACUCGAAGGCAGGAGAGGGAAGUGGAAUUCCCGGUGUAGUGGUGAAAUGCGUAGAGAUGUGGAGGAACACCAGUGGCGAAGGCGACUCUUUGGCCUGUAACUGACACUGAGGCGCGAAAGCGUGGGGAGCAAACAGG